UGGGGAAUAUUGCACAAUGGGCGCAAUCCUGAUGCAGCCAUGCCGCGUGUAUGACGAAGGCCUUCGGGUUGUAAAGUACUUUCAGCGGGGAGGAAGGGAGUAAAGUUAAUACCUUUGCUCAUUGACGUUACCCGCAGAAGAAGCACCGGCUACCUCCGUGCCAGCAGCCGCGGUAAUACGGAGGGUGCAAGCGUUAAUCGGAAUUACUGGGCGUAAAGCGCACGCAGGCGGUUUGUUAAGUCAGAUGUGAAAUCCCCGGGCUCAACCUGGGAACUGCAUCUGAUACUGGCAAGCUUGAGUCUCGUAGAGGGGGGUAGAAUUCCAGGUGUAGCGGUGAAAUGCGUAGAGAUCUGGAGGAAUACCGGUGGCGAAGGCGGCCCCCUGGACGAAGACUGACGCUCAGGUGCGAAAGCGUGGGGAGCAAACAGG
rnacentral:rRNA from 1 species